rnacentral:tRNA from 2 species
GGAGAGGUGCCUGAGUGGCCGAUAGGGCCGGUUUGCUAAACCGGUGUACAGGUAACACUGUACCGGGGGUUCGAAUCCCCCUCUCUCCGCCA